rnacentral:sRNA from 1 species
UUACAUGCUUUCUAUGAAGACUGCGGCCUUCUGGGAUAUACUGAUAAUAAAAUACAAGGUUUGGAUAGAAAGCUUUGCAGCUUUUUCGCGAAUAAGUUAGGUUGUUAGGUUGCGAAUAUGUCGAAUCGGGUUUUUAGUGAGCGUGUAGAAGGUAACAGGAACCUGUGUAGGAGAUUUCAUGCGGUUACGUGAGACAGGUUUGGGGAGUUCAGGAUCAAUCAUUUUAAUGUUUGACUGCAUGAAGACAGACUACGACUAGUUCAAAUGUCCAUAUGGGAUGAUACUUUAUGAGACAGAUCGAUAAAGCAAUAUCGCAUCCAGUCUUAGAAUAUCGACUACUCCUUUAUCAGUGUAUCAACAUACAAACGAAUGGCCGAAUUAAAGACUAUCAAUACUUGGCACGGACAGGAAGAUUCGAUACCACUAGAAACCAGCGUGAAUGUCCAAAUACCAGCCUAUGACAACAAAGCUUUCACAGACUACCCACAUGUU